GCUGAGGUCUAAGUUGCUGAGGCUGACUUAACUCCGGAUCCUCCACCCUCAGUCUCCGAGCAGCUGGGAUGACAGGCGUGCACCACUGCAACUGGCAACUCCUUGCCUUUUUAAUAAUUUCUUGAAUCUGAGAGAGCUAGCCACUUGACCUUCUCUCCACCUUUUAGAAUAGUGUAUGUUUGUUUUGUUUUGAUUUGAUUUUUUAUGUAAUGCCCAAAGGUGUUAGUGGUACUUAGCAGGAGACACAGGUAAUAGUUAAGUCUAACUCAUCUUCCUGAAAGCAGAAUUAUUCGUAAGUUUUCUGUAUUUUUUUUUAAAGAAACAUCAUUUAGAUAGAAAAAAUCAAGGGAUAUUGAAAUGUUUUCUUUAGAAAACAAGCAAUAUCUGGAAAAUGAAGGAAUACUUGCUGUGAGAUGAUGUUUAUGCCAGUGAUAUUUGAAAGUAUUGCAUUUUAUAUUAAAGCAAUGUCUUGGGUUUUAAAAUGAAGGGAUGGCAAGGUCAGUGAGAAUAAAUUGUAAGUCUGCAAUAUUAAAUGUCUGCUUUGCCUCUUUGAGGCAUACAUUUACAAAAUGUUAUUACAAGCUUUUCAGGCAGCAUUUGCAAUUUUGAGUAAUUUCUGCUGUGGUCUGGCUCUGACCACUUUGCCUUGAAUCCUAAGAAGCAUGUAGUGAUCAAGACAAUUCUUCCAUCUGUUGUGUGAUUGUUUGUUUGUUUUUUCCAGCUCCCAUUCAAUAAUCCAUAGUUAGAGGCUUUCCCACUUUAAAAAACAGAUAUAUCUUCUUUGUUUGCAUUGCAAUUAUGCACACAUUGAAUGAAAAAGAAGACUUUUAAACCUAACUCCUUAAUCAGCAACAGGACAAUUUGUCUGUGAAAAUGUUUCAGAGCAGUGCUCAAUUGCCUAAUCUUAUACUAACUGCAUAAAUUACAUUAUAAACAACACUCAUAUUAAUUGUAUUAUUUUUUCUCAACAUUAUUUUAAGUACAAUUUUUUUUUUUGC
rnacentral:lncRNA from 1 species